rnacentral:rRNA from 1 species
UACAGAGGUCUCAAGCGUUGUUCGGAUUCAUUGGGCGUAAAGGGUGCGUAGGUGGCGCGCUAAGUCAGGUGUGAAAUUUCGGAGCUCAACUCCGAAACUGCAUUUGAUACUGGCGUGCUUGAGGACUGGAGAGGAGACUGGAAUUUACGGUGUAGCAGUGAAAUGCGUAGAGAUCGUAAGGAAGACCAGUGGCGAAGGCGGGUCUCUGGACAGUUCCUGACACUGAGGCACGGAAGGCCCAGGGGAGCAAAACGGG